rnacentral:rRNA from 1 species
UACGGAGGGGGCUAGCGUUAUCCGGAUUCACUGGGUUUAAAGGGUGCGUAGGUGGGUUGGUAAGUCAGUGGUGAAAUCCCCGAGCUUAACUUGGGAACUGCCAUUGAUACUAUCAGUCUUGAAUACCGUGGAGGUCAGUGGAAUAUGUCAUGUAGCGGUGAAAUGCUUAGAUAUGACAUAGAACACCAAUUGCGAAGGCAGCUGGCUACACGAAUAUUGACACUGAGGAGCGAAAGCGUGGGUAGCAAACAGG